UUACUCGAAACUCACAUCCACAGAAACGCUAUGUAGGGCGCCAAAGGCGACGCGCUGGCGGCCAGCUCCAAGCCAACCAGACCCAUUGCGUCCGUCUGCAGGAACCUGUCUCUUCA
rnacentral:lncRNA from 1 species